rnacentral:rRNA from 1 species
AGGAGCCCAGCGCCGAAGCCUGCGGCAGGUUUGCUGUUAGGCAAUGUGGUGUGUGGGUCGAUUGGCGGGACCGCCGCUCCACUCGAAGUCCAGCACUGAGUAUGGCAAUAAGUGAGUAUGGCCCAUAGAGGGUGAAAGGCCCGUAUCACAUCAUCGUCCUUGGGUCAUUGGGAGUGGAGGUGCAGGCGAGUGACGCGGUUCACCAGGUCAACCUGAGAGU